GAUGAACGCUGGCGGCGUGCUUAACACAUGCAAGUCGAACGGUGAAGCAGGAGCUUGCUCUUGUGGAUCAGUGGCGAACGGGUGAGUAACACGUGAGCAACCUGCCCCUGACUCUGGAAUAAGCGCUGGAAACGGCGUCUAAUACUGGAUAUGUGAUGCGACCGCAUGGUCUGCAUCUGGAAAGAAUUUCGGUUGGGGAUGGGCUCGCGGCCUAUCAGCUUGUUGGUGAGGUAAUGGCUCACCAAGGCGUCGACGGUUAGCCGGCCUGAGAGGGUGACCGGCCACACUGGGACUGAGACACGGCCCAGACUCCUACGGGAGGCAGCAGUGGGGAAUAUUGCACAAUGGGCGGAAGCCUGAUGCAGCAACGCCGCGUGAGGGAUGACGGCCUUCGGGUUGUAAACCUCUUUUAGCAGGGAAGAAGCGAAAGUGACGGUACCUGCAGAAAAAGCACCGGCUAACUACGUGCCAGCCGCCGCAGUAA
rnacentral:rRNA from 1 species